rnacentral:misc_RNA from 1 species
AAUCUCAACCAUUAGGGUUUCUUAAUGGCUUGGAUUUGGGUGUUGCCAGCUUGUCUGGCUCGCCUUAAAAGAGUUAGCAAACAUAACAUUGUUGUCUGGCGUAAUAAGUUUCGCUGGUAAGACGUGUGACUGUGAGCUUCUAAUCGCCCUUGGGCAAUUUUUUGA